GCCAGAUUGCCCGAGCGGCCAAAGGGAACGGACUGUAAAUCCGUCGGCUUUUGCCUUCGAUGGUUCGAAUCCAUCAUCUGGCA
rnacentral:tRNA from 1 species